GACGAACGCUGGCGGCGUGCUUAACACAUGCAAGUCGAGCGGUAAGGCCCUUUCGGGGGUACACGAGCGGCGAACGGGUGAGUAACACGUGGGUGACCUGCCCUCAGCUCUGGGAUAAGCCUGGGAAACCGGGUCUAAUACCGGAUAUGACUCCAUGACGCAUGUUGUGGGGUGGAAAGCCUUGUGCGGCUGAGGAUGGGCCCGCGGCCUAUCAGCUUGUUGGUGGGGUGAUGGCCUACCAAGGCGACGACGGGUAGCCGGCCUGAGAGGGCGACCGGCCACACUGGGACUGAGACACGGCCCAGACUCCUACGGGAGGCAGCAGUGGGGAAUCUUGCGCAAUGGGCGAAAGCCUGAACGCAGCGACGCCGCGUGAGGGAUGGACGGCCUGG
rnacentral:rRNA from 1 species